rnacentral:rRNA from 1 species
AUUGAACGCUGGCGGCAUGCCUUACACAUGCAAGUCGAACGGCAGCACGGGAGCAAUCCUGGUGGCGAGUGGCGAACGGGUAAGUAAAGUAUCGGAACGUGCCCAGUCGUGGGGGAUAACGUAGCGAAAGUUACGCUAAUACCGCAUACGAUCUAUGGAUGAAAGCGGGGGAUCGCAAGACCUCGCGCGAUUGGAGCGGCCGAUAUCAGAUUCGGUAGUUGGUGGGGUAAAGGCCCACCAAGCCGACGAUCUGUAGCUGGUCUGAGAGGACGACCAGCCACACGGGGACUGAGGCACGGCCCAGACGCCUACGGGAGGCGGCAGUGGGGAAUGUUGGACAAUGGGCGAAAGCCUGAUCCAGCCAUGCCGCGUGCAGGAUGAAGGCCUUCGGGUUGUAAACUGCUUUUGUACGGAACGAAAAGGACUGCCCUAAUACGGUGGUCCCAUGACGGUACCGUAAGAAUAAGCACCGGCUAACUACGUGCCAGCCGCCGCCGUAAAAC